UUUAUGUGAAUGCCAACAUUCUUUCUUCAGAAUGUGCAAAAGAAGCUGUUGAUCUUACACGCAAGAAGCGGAAGUGACAGGGGGAUGUUUAAGGAAUUAAAGCUCUAACAAUCCUCGAAUGCUCAUUUAAACUUCAGUUCACGCGCUGGUUUGUUUGUCUGCAGCGGGGGACGGAUUUGUUUCUUUACGUGUCAUGGUAUUGUAAGCCUCCCCCCCAACCUUUGACUCACAGUUUGCUGUGCUGAGAAAACACACAUCUUUGGAAUACAGCAGCUUGGGGAUUUUUUUUUCUUUCCCCUUUUACUCUUCCUGUAAGUCAGCUAAGCACGCCUGUUCUUCCCCGGCCGUGCCCUGCUUAACAUUCAUGGUACAGUUGCACACAUUCACGCCUGGGAGCAACUCGGCACAGCCGCAGUCUUCAACUGUUGACCACUGAGCGGCUCCACUGGAGCGACUGAGUUAAGUGUCUCACUCAAGGGCACAUGGACGAAAGUGGCGACAAGCCCUCAAAGACCCGACAUUACCCAGGAGUUUGCUUUCAUUUUGAUGUAGCUUCUUGUAAAAUAUGUCCGCAUAAAUACUUGAGGGAAGGAAAGUGAACACUCGGCAGCCCCAAAAAUGAAAAGCAAAAUGAACAUUAAUAUUAUUUUAAAUGCUUGUAGCGGGUAGACUGGCAGUUCUGGAUGUUCUUAAUCCUAACCCCUAAAAAACCUAAAUGCUCCUCUCUCUCUCUCUCUCUCUCUGCAAUGGCUGUUUAUUUAUCAUUUAUUCCCUCAGCUCUCUAUAUCUGACAUGCUCGUAGUGUCCCAGAGGUUUUGAGACAAUUUUUUACAACAGCAAUAAUCAUCUCUAUGGUAACUCAUUGAAAAUUCUUGCCGCAUUCGAAGCAGAGAGGACAACAAGCGAGAGCGGGAGGGGAUGAGAGGCAGAUAGACUCAGAGCUUUUCUUUUCAUUUUCAGCUGUUUUCAAAAAUGACAAUAAAAGCUAUUUUUCCUACCAAUCUUUCUCUAUAAAUUAACAAAAAGUUGUGCCG
ensembl:lncRNA